rnacentral:rRNA from 1 species
UGGUGGAGUGAUUUGUCUGGUUAAUUCCGUUAACGAACGAGACCUCGACCUGCUAAAUAGUUGUGGCGAACUCAUCUGGGUUCGUGCUAACUUCUUAGAGGGACUAUCGCUGCGUGUAGCCGAUGGAGGUUCGAGGCAAUAACA